AGUAACACGUAAGCAACCUGCCUUUAAGACGAGAAUAACAAUUGGAAACAGUUGCUAAGGCUGGAUAGGAAAUAAAAAGGAAUCUUUUUAUUUUUAAAAGACCUUUUUCGGAAGGUAUGCUUAAAGAGGGGCUUGCGUCACAUUAGUUAGUUGGUAGGGUAAAGGCCUACCAAGACGAUGAUGUGUAGCUGGACUGAGAGGUUGAACAGCCACAUUGGGACUGAGACACGGCCCAAACUCCUACGGGAGGCAGCAGUAGGGAAUUUUCGGCAAUGGAGGAAACUCUGACCGAGCAACGCCGCGUGAACGACGAAGUACUUCGGUAUGUAAAGUUCUUUUAUUGAAGAAGAAACAAUAGUGGAAAAACUAUCUUGACGUUAUUCAAUGAAUAAGCCCCGGCUAACUAUGUGCCAGCAGCCGCGGUAAUACAUAGGGGGCGAGCGUUAUCCGGAAUUAUUGGGCGUAAAGGGUGCGUAGGCGGUUUAAUAAGUCUCUAGUUUAAUUUCAACGCUUAACGUUGUCCUGCUAGAGAAACUGUUUAACUAGAGUGAGAUAGAGGUAAGCGGAAUUCCAUGUGUAGCGGUAAAAUGUGUAAAUAUAUGGAGGAACACCAGAGGCGUAGGCGGCUUACUGGGUCUUUACUGACGCUGAUGCACGAAAGCGUGGGGAGCAAACAGGAUUAGAUACCCUGGUAGUCCACGCCGUAAACUAUGAGUACUAAGUGUCGGGGUUAAACUCGGUACUGAAGUUAACACAUUAAGUACUCCGCCUGAGUAGUACGUACGCAAGUAUGAAACUUAAAGGAAUUGACGGGAUCCCGCACAAGCGGUGGAUCAUGUUGUUUAAUUCGAAGAUACACGAAAAACCUUACCAGGUCUUGACAUACUCUGCAAAGCUAUAGAAAUAUAGUGGAGGUUAUCAGGGAUACAGGUGGUGCAUGGUUGUCGUCAGCUCGUGUCGUGAGAUGUUAGGUUAAGUUCUAAAACGAGCGCAACCCCUGUCGUUAAUUGCCAGCACGUUAUGGUGGGGACUUUAGCGAGACUGCCAAUGAAAAAUUGGAGGAAGGUGGGGAUUACGUCAAAUCAUCAUGCCCCUUAUGAUCUGGGCUACAAACGUGAUACAAUGGCUAUUACAAAGAGUAGCUGAAACGCGAGUUUUCGGCAAAUCUCAAAAAAAUAGUCUCAGUUCGGAUUGAAGUCUGCAACUCGACUUCAUGAAGUUGGAAUCGCUAGUAAUCGCGAAUCAGCAUGUCGCGGUGAAUACGUUCUCGGGGUUUGUACACACCGCCCGUCAAACCACGAAAGUGGACAAUACCCGAAAGCGACAGCCUAACUGCGUAAGCA
rnacentral:rRNA from 1 species